rnacentral:rRNA from 1 species
GACGAACGCUGGCGGCGUGCUUAACACAUGCAAGUCGAACGGUGAAGGGACCGGUUUUUGCUGGUUCUGGUUGAGUGGCGAACGUGUGAGUCACACGUGAGUAACCUGCCCCCUUCUUCUGGAUAACCGCAUGAAAGUGUGGCUAAUACGGGAUAUUCUUCGCCUGCUGCAUGGUGGGUGUGGGAAAGAUAUUGUUUCGGUGUGGGAUGGGGUCGCGGCCUAUCAGGUUGUUGGUGGGGUGAUGGCCUACCAAGGCGGUGACGGGUAGCCGGCCUGAGAGGGUGGACGGUAAUACUGGGAAGGAGAGACGGACCAGACUACGACAGGCGGCAGCAGGGAGUAUUAUUGAACAAGGGGAGGAAGGAUGGUGCAGCGACGCCGCGGGGGGGAUGGAGGCCUGCGGGUUGUAAACUUCUAUCGCCAGUGAAGCUGGGCGGUCCCUUUUGUGGGUGGGUUGACGGUAGCUAGAGAAGAAGCGCCGGCUAACUACGUG